AAAUUGAAGAGUUUGAUCAUGGCUCAGAUUGAACGCUGGCGGCAGGCCUAACACAUGCAAGUCGAACGGUAACAGGAAGCAGCUUGCUGCUUUGCUGACGAGUGGCGGACGGGUGAGUAAUGUCUGGGAAACUGCCUGAUGGAGGGGGAUAACUACUGGAAACGGUGGCUAAUACCGCAUAACGUCGCAAGACCAAAGAGGGGGACCUUCGGGCCUCUUGCCAUCAGAUGUGCCCAGAUGGGAUUAGCUUGUUGGUGAGGUAACGGCUCACCAAGGCGACGAUCCCUAGCUGGUCUGAGAGGAUGACCAGCCACACUGGAACUGAGACACGGUCCAGACUCCUACGGGAGGCAGCAGUGGGGAAUAUUGCACAAUGGGCGCAAGCCUGAUGCAGCCAUGCCGCGUGUAUGAAGAAGGCCUUCGGGUUGUAAAGUACUUUCAGCGGGGAGGAAGGUGUUGUGGUUAAUAACCGCAGCAAUUGACGUUACCCGCAGAAGAAGCACCGGCUAACUCCGUGCCAGCAGCCGCGGUAAUACGGAGGGUGCAAGCGUUAAUCGGAAUUACUGGGCGUAAAGCGCACGCAGGCGGUCUGUCAAGUCGGAUGUGAAAUCCCCGGGCUCAACCUGGGAACUGCAUUCGAAACUGGCAGGCUUGAGUCUUGUAGAGGGGGGUAGAAUUCCAGGUGUAGCGGUGAAAUGCGUAGAGAUCUGGAGGAAUACCGGUGGCGAAGGCGGCCCCCUGGACAAAGACUGACGCUCAGGUGCGAAAGCGUGGGGAGCAAACAGGAUUAGAUACCCUGGUAGUCCACGCCGUAAACGAUGUCUACUUGGAGGUUGUGCCCUUGAGGCGUGGCUUCCGGAGCUAACGCGUUAAGUAGACCGCCUGGGGAGUACGGCCGCAAGGUUAAAACUCAAAUGAAUUGACGGGGGCCCGCACAAGCGGUGGAGCAUGUGGUUUAAUUCGAUGCAACGCGAAGAACCUUACCUGGUCUUGACAUCCACAGAACUUUCCAGAGAUGGAUUGGUGCCUUCGGGAACUGUGAGACAGGUGCUGCAUGGCUGUCGUCAGCUCGUGUUGUGAAAUGUUGGGUUAAGUCCCGCAACGAGCGCAACCCUUAUCCUUUGUUGCCAGCG
rnacentral:rRNA from 1 species